rnacentral:rRNA from 1 species
GGACAGGUGGUGCAUGGUUGUCGUCAGCUCGUGUCGUGAGAUGUGGUUAAGUCCCGCAACGAGCGCAACCCUUAUUGCUAGUUACCAUCAUUAAGUUGGGGACUCUAGCGAGACUGCCAGUGAUAAACUGGAGGAAGGUGGGGAUGACGUCAAAUCAUCAUGCCCCUUAUGACCUGGGCUACAAACGUGAUACAAUGGCUGAAACAAAGGGCAGCGAAGGAGCGAUCUGGAGCGAAACCCAAAAAGCAGUCUCAGUUCGGAUUGAAGUCUGCAACUCGACUUCAUGAAGUCGGAAUCGCUAGUAAUCGCGGAUCAGAACGCCGCGGUGAAUACGUUCUCGGGGUUU